UACGUAGGGGGCGAGCGUUGUCCGGAAUCAUUGGGCGUAAAGCGCGUGUAGGCGGCCCGGUAAGUCCGCUGUGAAAGUCCAGGGCUCAACCCUGGGAUGCCGGUGGAUACUGUCGGGCUCGAGUCCGGAAGAGGCGAGUGGAAUUCCUGGUGUAGCGGUGAAAUGCGUAGAUAUUGGGAGGAACACCAGUGGCGAAGGCGGCUCACUGGACCGGUUCUGACGCUGAGGCGCGAAAGCGUGGGGAGCAAACGGG
rnacentral:rRNA from 1 species